GCAAGAGUGGGGCGCCGAGGAGGGAAAGCACUGUGUGUUUAGGGGCCAGGAGUGAGCCACCUACGCCUGCUGGUGGGUGCAUUUAAACAAGCGAAGACACACAAGUACAAAGCUAGGCUGGCAUUGGAAUGGAAGACCUGAGCGCCAGGGGGAGGCAGUCAAUUUGGUUUUCAAGGGAAAAACACAAAGAAGGGGGUGCAGAAGUGUGAAAUGAGGAGACCGGAAGAGCACAGGUC